rfam:Gossypium raimondii Chr08_contig_1321, whole genome shotgun sequence.
GGUUAAAAUUUUUAUCUAUUUUUAUUGUUAAAAACUAGUGUGAGUGAUGAGAUAAUCAAAUACUUACAUGCGAUAUGCUACAUAUAUAUACCUCAUACUAAUAUAUAUAGAUAAGUUUUUAACAGUGAAAAUGGAUAGACUUUUUAACA